GGUGGUGUUGUGUGUGUCGAG
rnacentral:misc_RNA from 1 species